GUUGCAGGGUAUAGACCCGAAACCCGGUGAUCUAGCCAUGGGCAGGUUGAAGGUUGGGUAACACUAACUGGAGGACCGAACCGACUAAUGUUGAAAAAUUAGCGGAUGACUUGUGGCUGGGGGUGAAAGGCCAAUCAAACCGGGAGAUAGCUGGUUCUCCCCGAAAGCUAUUUAGGUAGCGCCUCGUGAAUUCAUCUCCGGGGGUAGAGCACUGUUUCGGCAAGGGGGUCAUCCCGACUUACCAACCCGAUGCAAACUGCGAAUACCGGAGAAUGUUAUCACGGGAGACACACGGCGGGUGCUAACGUCCGUCGUGAAGAGGGAAACAACCCAGACCGCCAGCUAAGGUCCCAAAGUCAUGGUUAAGUGGGAAACGAUGUGGGAAGGCCCAGACAGCCAGGAUGUUGGCUUAGAAGCAGCCAUCAUUUAAAGAAAGCGUAAUAGCUCACUGGUCGAGUCGGCCUGCGCGGAAGAUGUAACGGGGCUAAACCAUGCACCGAAGCUGCGGCAGCGACGCUUAUGCGUUGUUGGGUAGGGGAGCGUUCUGUAAGCCUGCGAAGGUGUGCUGUGAGGCAUGCUGGAGGUAUCAGAA
rnacentral:rRNA from 1 species